UGCAAGUCGAACGAGCGAGAGGAGGUUUACUUUCUCAAGCGAGUGGCGAACGGGUGAGUAACGCGUGAGGAACCUGCCUCAAAGAGGGGGACAACAGUUGGAAACGACUGCUAAUACCGCAUAAGCCCACGACCCGGCAUCGGGUAGAGGGAAAAGGAGCAAUCCGCUUUGAGAUGGCCUCGCGUCCGAUUAGCUGGUUGGUGAGGUAACGGCCCACCAAGGCGACGAUCGGUAGCCGGACUGAGAGGUUGAACGGCCACAUUGGGACUGAGACACGGCCCAGACUCCUACGGGAGGCAGCAGUGGGGAAUAUUGCACAAUGGGGGAAACCCUGAUGCAGCGACGCCGCGUGGAGGAAGAAGGUCUUCGGAUUGUAAACUCCUGUUGUUGAGGAAGAUAAUGACGGUACUCAGCAAGGAAGUGACGGCUAACUACGUGCCAGCAGCCGCGGUAAAACGUAGGUCACAAGCGUUGUCCGGAAUUACUGGGUGUAAAGGGAGCGCAGGCGGGAAGACAAGUUGGAAGUGAAAUCCAUGGGCUCAACCCAUGAACUGCUUUCAAAACUGUUUUUCUUGAGUAGUGCAGAGGUAGGCGGAAUUCCCGGUGUAGCGGUGGAAUGCGUAGAUAUCGGGAGGAACACCAGUGGCGAAGGCGGCCUACUGGGCACCAACUGACGCUGAGGCUCGAAAGUGUGGGUAGCAAACAGGAUUAGAUACCCUGGUAGUCCACACUGUAAACGAUGAUUACUAGGUGUUGGAGGAUUGACCCCUUCAGUGCCGCAGUUAACACAAUAAGUAAUCCACCUGGGGAGUACGACCGCAAGGUUGAAACUCAAAGGAAUUGACGGGGGCCCGCACAAGCAGUGGAGUAUGUGGUUUAAUUCGACGCAACGCGAAGAACCUUACCAAGUCUUGACAUCCUGCGACGAUGCUGGAAA
rnacentral:rRNA from 1 species